UGAGAAUUUGAUCCUGGUUCAGGAUGAACGCUGGCGGUGUGGAUAAGGCAUGCAAGUCGAGCGGUUCGAUUUCGUCGCAAGACGAAAUCGAAUAGCGGCGAACGAGUUAGUAACACGUAGGAACUUACCCCAAAGACGGGAAUAACCCUCCGAAAGGAGGACUAAUACCCGAUGGCAUGAAGGUUAAAAUCUUCAUUAAAGUCGCAAGACGCUUUGGGAGAGGCCUGCGGGCUAUCAGCUAGUUGGUAGGGUAAUGGCCUACCAAGGCGAUGACGGCUAGGGGGCGCGAGAGCGUGUUCCCCAACGUAAGGNUGAGCGUAUCUGUAGAAUAAGGCGCUGCUAACUUCGUGCCAGCAGCAGCGGUAAUACGAAGGCGCCAAGCGUUAUCCGGAUUUAUUGGGCGUAAAGAGUUCAAAGGGGGUCAUGUUAGUCCGAUGUCAAAGCUCGCAACUCAAUUGCGAAAGCGCGUCGGAAACGGCAUGACUUGAGGAAAUUAGAGGCAAGUAGAACGGCUGGUGUAGGGGUGAAAUCCGUUGAUAUCAGCCGGAAUACCAAAGGCGAAGGCAUCUUGCUGGAAUUUUCCUGACCCUGAAAGAACGAAAGCGUGGGUAGCGAAUGGGAUUAGAUACCCCAGUAGUCCACGCCCUAAACGAUGAGUGCUCGCUGUUUGAAGUAUCGACCCUUCAAGUGGCUUAGCUAACGCGUUAAGCACUCCGCCUGGGAAGUACGAGCGCAAGCUUAAAACUCAAAGGAAUAGACGGGGACUCGCACAAGCGGUGGAGCAUGUGGUUCAAUUCGACAAUAACCGAAAAACCUUACCUGGCCUUGACACUCUAACAAUAACCUCGCGAAAGCAAGGUGUGUUCACAAGACGGUUAGAGCAGGUACUGCAUGGUUGUCGUCAGCUCGUGCCUUGAGGUGUUCCGUUAAGUCGGGAAACGAGCGCAACCCCUGUUGCCAGUUACAAGUGUCUGGCGAUACUGCCCCGAGAGACGGGGAGGAAGGAGGGGACAACGUCAAAUCAGCAUGGUCCUUUGAUGGCCAGGGCUACACACGUGCUACAAUGGGAA
rnacentral:rRNA from 1 species